GUUAACACAUUCACAUAAAGUCUGGUCCAUAGUCCAAAGGCAAGAGGCGGGCAAGCAGCCCCCUCCAAGGACACGUGGCGAGGCCGGUUUCGCCACAGGCUACUUUAGGGAAAGUAAGACUUACAGGCCAGGUAGAGAAUUCUCAAGGAAUUCCAAUUGGAAGAGCGGCCUGAAUGGAAAAUCCUCUAGGGGCAAGACGCAGACCUCUUCC